rnacentral:lncRNA from 1 species
ACUGAGUACCUUGCAAAAGUUCUGGCAUUGGCUCAAUGUCUUUAUCUUCGCUCUCAUGUCCAUUGCAGCAACGAUUGCAUCUUUGAGGCUCAUAGCUGUUGAUUCCAAAGAAUACCAUGUGUUUGCUGAUGUGUGAUAUCUACAAGGGCUGAGAAAAAUGCCUAAAAUUAGCAGAAAUCCGAUUCGAAUUUAGCCUUCGCUUCGGUUUUUGAUUAGAUUAAUAAUAUCAAUGUAAUGUAUUCAUUCGGUUCUCGGUUCAUAACUUAAAAAAAAAAAACCACAAAUAUUAUUAAAACAGAACAGAAAAGAGCCGAACCGAACCGAACCGAAUUUUAUUUUAAUUUAAUUUUAGCUAGUGUUUAAUUUCUGAUGGUAUAAAAAUAAAUAAAUAUAUUUUAUUUCUAAGUCUACCCUUAAAAUUCAAUUUGGUUAUUUAUGGUGUUUAAUUACACACACAGUUGGAUAGUAGACAUCAGAAUGAUAGAAAUGGUGGAGCCUUCCACUAUUUCUGAGUUAGACACAAACCUAAAAUUCGAUUCUAAAAAUGGGGGGAUACAACCUGACUUUACAAAAAGAUGUAGGAGCUACUUUCUCAGCUUGAUGCUUGUUUCUUUCUCGAAAAGUCGUGUUUCCUUGGUUCAACAGAUGAUGAUGGAUCACAUCAAAUAAGGGUGGGAUCAGAUGUAUGGCCUCUUAAGAUAGUUGACAAAGCAAUCAGUUUCGUGAUGGAUACCCGCGAUUCCAACUUACGUCUAAUUGUUUAACCCCCACAUGUCCCUGCAACUGGAUGCAGAAUCCGGUAAAUAAGCCUCCAAUGCGGAUAUCUUCGAUUUUCUCUCAUGUAUUUGAUUAGUAGCAGACAUAAACAUCUUACCUGGAAACCAACUUUACAAGAAUGCAGAUUGCACUGAGUAGUAGGAGAGGAACUCUCUCGUAUAUUGCGUGGCGUAAAUGGGUCUGCCAUUCUGAGUUGGGAGCAACAAAACCAGCCUCCUUUAAUAUUUGCCACCGGACCCCAUUUUCUGCAAUAACAAAGGGUUACCAUCAAUCUCCAUACACUGUCACACUAGGAUAAGUAAAAUCCCAA